CGUGACUCGAGACGACGCUGGCGGCGUGCCUAAUACAUGCAAGUCGAGCGGAGUUAGGAGGGAGCUUACUCCCAACUAACUUAGCGGCGGACGGGUGAGUAACACGUAGGCAACCUGCCCUCAAGAUCGGGAUAACAUUCGGAAACGAAUGCUAAGACCGGAUACACGGUUUGGUCGCAUGAUCGGAUCGGGAAACACGGAGCAAUCUGUGGCUUGGGGAUGGGCCUGCGGCGCAUUAGCUAGUUGGUGGGGUAACGGCUCACCAAGGCGACGAUGCGUAGCCGACCUGAGAGGGUGAACGGCCACACUGGGACUGAGACACGGCCCAGACUCCUACGGGAGGCAGCAGUAGGGAAUCUUCCACAAUGGGCGAAAGCCUGAUGGAGCAACGCCGCGUGAGUGAGGAAGGCUUUCGGGUCGUAAAGCUCUGUUGCCAGGGAAGAAUAAGGGUGAGGUAACUACUCACCUGAUGACGGUACCUGAGAAGAAAGCCCCGGCUAACUACGUG
rnacentral:rRNA from 1 species